rnacentral:rRNA from 1 species
AACGAACGUUAGCGGCGCGCUUAACACAUGCAAGUCGAGCGAGAAAGGGGCAACCCCGGUAAAGCGGCGCACGGGUGAGUAACACGUAGGUAAUCUACCCUCGGGUGGAGGAUAACUUUCCGAAAGGAAGGCUAAUACUGCAUGAGACCACGACCUCGAAAGGGGAUGGGGUCAAAGCCGGCCUCUGUACACAAGCUGGCGCCUGAGGAUGAGCCUGCGGCCCAUCAGCUAGUUGGUAGGGUAAUGGCCUACCAAGGCGAAGACGGGUAGCUGGUCUGAGAGGAUGAUCAGUCACACUGGAACUGAGACACGGUCCAGACUCCUACGGGAGGCAGCAGUGGGGAAUCUUGCGCAAUGGGCGAAAGCCUGACGCAGCGACGCCGCGUGAGUGAUGAAGGCCUCGGUUGUAAGACGUCUGUGGUAGAGGGACGGAAGUAAGUAGUUGGUCGUAAC